rnacentral:rRNA from 1 species
AGUGAACGCUGGCGGUAGGCCUAACACAUGCAAGUCGAACGGCAGCACAGUAAGAGCUUGCUCUUACGGGUGGCGAGUGGCGGACGGGUGAGGAAUACAUCGGAAUCUACUUUUUCGUGGGGGAUAGCGUAGGGAAACUUACGCUAAUACCGCAUACGACCUACGGGUGAAAGCAGGGGAUCUUCGGACCUUGCGCGAUUGAAUGAGCCGAUGUCGGAUUAGCCAGUUGGCGGGGUAAAGGCCCACCAAGGCGACGAUCCGUAGCUGGUCUGAGAGGAUGAUCAGCCACACUGGAACUGAGACACGGUCCAGACUCCUACGGGAGGCAGCAGUGGGGAAUAUUGGACAAUGGGCGCAAGCCUGAUCCAGCCAUACCGCGUGGGUGAAGAAGGCCUUCGGGUUGUAAAGCCCUUUUGUUGGGAAAGAAAAGCAGCAGGUUAAUACCCCGCUGUUCUGACGGUACCCAAAGAAUAAGCACCGGCUAACUUCGUG